rnacentral:pre_miRNA from 1 species
GAAGUACUCCCUCUGUUCCGAAUUACUUGUCGCGAAAAUGGAUGUAUCUAGACGUAUUUUAGUUCUAGAUACAUCCAUUUCCGAGACAAGUAAUUCCGAACGGAGGGAGUAAAAA